AGUAGUUUGACUCCUGGCUCAGAACACGCUGGCGGCAUGCCUAACACAUGCAAGUCGAACGAAGUCUUCGGACUUAGUGGCGCACGGGUGCGUAACGCGUGGGAAUCUGCCCUUGGGUGCGGAAUAACUUCUCGAAAGGGAUGCUAAUACCGCAUAAUGUCGUAAGACCAAAGAUUUAUCGCCCAAGGAUGAGCCCGCGUAAGAUUAGCUAGUUGGUGGGGUAAAAGCCUACCAAGGCGACGAUCUUUAGCUGGUCUGAGAGGAUGAUCAGCCACACUGGGACUGAGACACGGCCCAGACUCCUACGGGAGGCAGCAGUGGGGAAUAUUGGACAAUGGGCGAAAGCCUGAUCCAGCAAUGCCGCGUGAGUGAUGAAGGCCCUAGGGUUGUAAAGCUCUUUACCAGGGAUGAUAAUGACAGUACCUGGAGAAUAAGCUCCGGCUAACUCCGUG
rnacentral:rRNA from 1 species